UGAAUUUUCCUAUUGAAAUAUUAUGUUGCUAUUUAUCCAUGAUAACAAUUAAUGUUUAUUUUUCAAGGUUGUUGGUCAUUAACUUAGUUACAUAGGUACAGUAUUUCCUAAUACAUUUAGAGUUAAACAAUAAGCAAGUUUCACUGUGAAUCAAUGAGAUUGAUAACAAUAGCAAUUGCUUUCCUGCGUAUCAUCAUUACUACUGCCUAUAUAGUACCUAUAUUUUGAGUUUUCUGUGGAGAACGAAUGGCUCAAGUUAAUAAAGCUAAUGAAAUAUCAAAAACCUACCAAAAAUAAAAAUGCCAUUUAUGUCUGCCUGUCACCACAUAGAAAGCUUUCCGAAAGACACAAUUCCUUGGUAAGUAGUUCCUCACUUUACUUGA